rnacentral:lncRNA from 1 species
CACUAUUUAUCACAAACAUUAAAUGCAAACGUCACAGCUGAAGCUAGCAAAAAUCACAAGAACGAAUUCGUCAUAUGGGGGGACCAAAGUCCUGAUUGAACUCAAAACAACUGUUAAUUGCAACAAUUAAACACAGGCAUCAUAGCUAAAGUUAUUAAUCCGGCACCAAAAUAAACUUGUCACGUGGGGGGUCGAAAUUCUGAAAGCAAUAUUUUAAACCCAAAAUCAUAGGCAGUAUGACUCAUGACCUGUCUUCUUUUACCAAUAUAGGAACACUGCCAUCUAAUUUCAUGCGAGAAAAACUGUCAUACCAGUUUCAAUGCAAAAGGAACGAACUUUGAAGAGCAUGAUUUCAUACCACCUACAUCACGGACUAAAUCCCAAAACAACGUAGACAGUUAUUUCAUUUCACCGAGCAAGACAGCAAACAUGAGCCUUUGAACUUGGUCAAAAGAUUACUUCCAACGCAAACGCCAGAAGGGCCUCCCUCCUGUUUCAUUUUCUCCUCUGGACAAACAAAUUUUAGGAGCAAAACACAUCCCUAACAGAAAUUCUAAAACAGAGAAACCCGAGAACAAGGAGAGGAAGGAUAGUGAGGACCUUAAGGCUCCCGAUUCCUCAACAACAAAAGGGAAAGAAAGGAACCAACUCUUAAUCUAAACACCUAUUUGCUCACAACUUAUGGGAGAAAAUGCAGGCAAACGCGCCACUUUGUGACCCAAAAAAAAAAAAGAACUCUAAUGUCUAAAAUAAAAACAUAAAUCAGCAACUCUGAACAUAAGCCUUUUUUACUCACAGCCACGGCAGAAGAGGUAGGCCAGCGGCACAACCAUGUGGCCAAAACAGAACUCUAAUGUCUAAAAUAAAAACGGGAACCAGCAACUCUUCAUAAGCUUUUGUUUACUCACAGCCAUGGCAGCAAAGGUAGGCCAGCGGCACAACCAUGUGGCCAAAACAGAACUCUAAUGUCUAAAACAAACGGCAGGAACAAGUUUUUUUUUAUUAAAAAAGGAACAACAGACAUCAAACUACACAUAUGAAAAAGGAAUAAAAGAAAGGGCAGCGACUCAUACCUGCUGAUAUAGCUUGCAGACGAUGAAGUGUAGAAGGAUGAAACAGCCUUUUCUUUGCUGACACUGAAGACCAAAGAAAGCCUCCCCUUGCUGUCGUUAGGCUUCUUUAAAACCCUUUUAGAGUUUUGUGAAAUCCUUUUCGGCAAGGUAGGAUGAGCUGAAAGUGAUCUUCCCUCGUCCUUAAACUGAUUUUCUGCUUCUCCGCUGAACCUUAUGUUAGCUCUCGGUUUUCUAACUCUUCUCUCCCCUUUUUCUUUUUUCUCUUACAACGCAGUCUAUUAUAUGUGCAAGAACUGAAGACCACCCUCACAUUCUCUCAUCUCCACCGUAUGUCUUAGGGAAACAAUCCCAGCCCUUAGAUGAUGAUGAGGCUCCUCUUUGCGUCUCCUUUCACAGCUGGCACAGUGAGGUGCAACGGUUUCCCUUGUGAAAUCCAGAUUGCAGCUAAGGACAUGGCGUGAAGAGGGGUGUUGUCCUGCACACACCAGGUUGCAGGGGUUGCAAGGACGAGAGAUUUCAAAAACUAGCAGGAAAUGGUUGCAGAGGAGGGAAUGGAAUGCAGACGGGGUGGGAUACAGUACCAUGCUAAUUAUAUUUUUAAGAUGAGGUUGUUCUCAUAAGACACCGUCUAGCUAAAGAAGUGAAUUAGUGUAAAAAAGACAGACGGUGUCGUUUAGAAAGGCAGCAGGAAUGUAACCCAUCGUGGCAUAAUUUCUGUCAUUUUCUAAUCCUAUCC